rnacentral:rRNA from 1 species
UGCCAGACUCCUACGGGAGGCAGCAGUGGGGAAUCUUGCGCAAUGGGCGGAAGCCUGACGCAGCGACGCCGCGUGCGGGACGAAGGCCUUCGGGUCGUAAACCGCUUUCAGCAGGGACGAGGCCCUCACGGUGACGGUACCUGCAGAAGAAGCCCCGGCUAACUACGUGCCAGCAGCCGCGGUAAUACGGAGGAUGCGAGCGUUAUCCGGAUUUAUUGGGUUUAAAGGGUGCGUAGGCGGAAUAUCAAGUCAGCGGUAAAAAUUCGGGGCUCAACCCCGUCGUGCCGUUGAAACUGAUGUUCUUGAGUGGGCGAGAAGUAUGCGGGAUGCGUGGUGUAGCGGUGAAAUGCAUAGAUAUCACGCAGAACUCCGAUUGCGAAGGCAGCAUACCGGCGCCCAACUGACGCUGAAGCACGAAAGCGUGGGUAUCGAACAGGAUUAGAUACCCUAGUAG